UUUAAUAGAGUGCUUUUCCCACUACUUUGAGGGCCCAUGAUGGAGACCACAGCAUAUGAUAGUCCACAUUCCCCCAAUCUCACCUCCUUGAUAAAUUGUUCUAUUCCAGUAGCAUUAAAUGCACCAUCUCCAUCAAUCAGCUGAGUAGAACAACAUUCUUCAUUUUUCGCCAUUUGAAUUGGAUCGGAACUGGAGAGGAUUGAAAGCUCAAUUCGACCUAAGGAGAUGUUUGGCAGUGCAGAUCGAUUGAUAAAGAAAAAAGACAGAUCUCAAAAGAAGAAU
rnacentral:misc_RNA from 1 species